rnacentral:snRNA from 1 species
ACAAGUGUAUCCUAGGGGUGAAGCCAUGAUCACAAAGGUGGUUUCCCAGGGAGAGUCUUGUCCAUUGCAUUAUAGAAGUAUGGACCCUGUUAUUUUUGCAAAUGGGGAAAAUUCAACUGCAUAAUUUCUGAUUAACUAGGAGCCCUCUUGCUCACCCCUAAA